rnacentral:tRNA from 1 species
GGGCGAAUAGUCUAGGGGUUAUGAUUUCUGCUUUGCAUUCUUCAGGAGUGAUUGCAGAGGGUCCCGCGUUCAAAUCGCGGUUCGUCCA